rnacentral:rRNA from 1 species
ACCAGACUCCUACGGGAGGCAGCAGUGGGGGAUAUUGCACAAUGGGGGAAACCCUGAUGCAGCGACGCCGCGUGAGUGAAGAAGUAUUUCGGUAUGUAAAGCUCUCUCAGCAGGGAAGAAAAUGACAGUACCUGACCAAGAAGCCCCGGCUAACUACGUGCCAGCAGCCGCGGUAAUACGUAGGGGGCAAGCGUUAUCCGGAUUUACUGGGUGUAAAGGGAGCGUAGACGGUUAUGUAAGUCUGGAGUGAAAGCCCGGGGCCCAACCCCGGGACUGCUUUGGAAACUGUGUAACUGGAGUACAGGAGGGGCAGGCGGAAUUCCUGGUGUAGCGGUGAAAUGCGUAGAUAUUAGGAGGAACACCAGUGGCGAAGGCGGCUUACUGGACUGUAACUGACGUUGAGGCUCGAAAGCGUGGGGAGCAAACAGGAUUAGAUACCCGCGUAGU